AUGGUUUGGCCUCAUACCUCUUCGGGGCGUUUUUCGGUUAAGUGGGCUUAUUUGAAACUUAUCGCUGGUUCCCGCACGGAAAAGUUUAAGUCUAUUUGGUCUGCCCGCAUCCCUCCCAAGAUCAAGAUCUUCCUCUGGCAAGCUUAUCGUCGCAAACUUCCAGCGGCUGACCAGAUUAAGAAGAGGAAUGGUCCGGGCUCGGACUCCUGUCAACUUUGCGGUGCCCUUGAGAACACUGAGCAUAUCUUUUUCCACUGUUCCUUGGCUAAAUUCAUAUGGAGCUGUAUUAGACUUUGGCUUGGGGUUAAUUGGAACCCAUCCUCCUUUGGUGAUUUGAGACAGUGCAUCAAUUCCUUAGCAGGCCGGUCUAAGAGGGUUUUCAUGGUGGGAUGGGCUGCGAUUUGUUGGGCGCCCUGGACUACUAGGAACAAGUUCACUAUUGAGCACAUUUUCCCUACUAACCCUGUCAAUUGCUUAUUUAAAGCUAUUAUCCUUUUGCAGCAGUGGAGAUCAUUGAUUAAGAAUGGGGAUUUGCAGGCUUUUGAUGACAUGCUAUCCAGAAUGAACUCUAUGGCGUCUACCCUGCUGCGGCAUUCUAGGCGAAAUCCUCCUCAGUAG
rnacentral:rRNA from 1 species